ACGGGUGAGUAACGCGUAGAUAACCUGUCUUUGUGUCUGGAAUAAUACGCCGAAAGGGGUACUAAUACCGGAUAUUCUUGCAUUAUAUAAGUUUUGCAAGCAAAGGUGGCCUCUGACAUAAGCUACUGCAUAAAGAGGGGUCUGCGUACCAUUAGCUAGUAGGUGGGGUAAUGGCCUACCUAGGCGACGAUGGUUAGCGGGUCUGAGAGGAUGAUCCGCCACACUGGCACUGGAACACGGGCCAGACUCCUACGGGAGGCAGCAGUGAGGAAUAUUGCGCAAUGGGGGCAACCCUGACGCAGCGACGCCGCGUGAGUGAGGAAGGCCUUCGGGUCGUAAAGCUCUGUCAAAGGGAAAGAAGUGCAUAGUGGUUAAUACCUGCUAUGUUUGACGGUACCCUUAAAGGAAGCACCGGCUAACUCCGUGCCAGCAGCCGCGGUAAUACGGAGGGUGCAAGCGUUGUUCGGAAUCACUGGGCGUAAAGGGCGCGUAGGCGGUUUGAUAAGUCAGAUGUGAAAGCCCACGGCUUAACUGUGGAAGUGCAUUUGAAACUGUCAGACUUGAGUACCAGAGGGGAAAGUGGAAUU
rnacentral:rRNA from 1 species